rnacentral:lncRNA from 1 species
CUAACAGGUCUAACAACUAAACUCACGUGCUCUCGGCACAAUCUGAUGCCAAAACAGCAAUCUAGGUCCACCAUCAACCCCGACUACACCCGACAGUCCGAAACAGCCUAGACACUGCUGUAAAAAUAAGCUCGACAUCUCAGCACGAGCGUAAACAUAUUCUACACUAUCCCAAAUAUCCACGGCCCACAAACUGCGGUGAUACAAUCAAACUACGGCUCCCAGAGCUAAAUCAGGUAGUUUUAACAUAUGACA